CGGGGAGUAGCUCAGUUGGCUAGAGUGCACGCUUUGGGAGCGUGAUGUCGCAGGUUCGAGUCCUGUCUCCCCGACCA
rnacentral:tRNA from 2 species